AGACUAUUAGAGACGACGACCGACAAAGAAAAGACUCGUUAGCAUAUCAGAUUCAUUGGACGGAAUUUUCAGUCAAGACGAGUUGUAAGUUGCAGGUGAUGACUAGUACCAUCGGAGAUGCGGAAGCCAUCAUAUCUUGGAGACCCUUAUUAUAUGCAUUGUGUUGAUGUUAUUUUGAGCAUUUUUUUAUUUUGAGAAUUCCUGCUCUUAUAGUGACAUCGGGUUGAGACUACAUUUGCACUUAAUUUAACACAUAAAUAGGUGUACUUCAAAAAGGAUUUCGUUGUCUGAUAUUGUGAUUUCAAGUUGUUAA